CGCAUUUAAAUGUUUUUGUUGUGCAUCAUGACUUUGUCAAGGGCGGUAUUUUUGUGAACAAUUAAGUAAGAAGUGCUGAAUUGUGAAACACAUAGCUUAUUUCAGAAAAUUCAAGGAUCUUUAAGUAUAGUUUGAGAACGUGACUCGACAGAACAGACCAAGUAUGUCCAGCCCAAAGAAGCUGCGCCUGAUGACCUACUUAUCCUCGGGGAUUCCCAUCCAGGUGUUUGAGCUGCUCUUGCACUACUUGGAGGAAGUGACCGGGAUGGAGGGGUACCUGAUCACUGAGUCCCGAUGGAGCGGACCCCCAGCAGAGCGGGGCGACCCUUUCAUUGACGAUAUUGCUGAUGUUGUUCAGCAUACCUGCGCCUGAAACACGACAAAAAUGAAUACAUGGAGUUGUGUCCGGUAGCCCCUGUCCACAGGCAUGAGAAAGGUGGCGGGGAACCAGUUUACUUCUCCGACCUUGUGGUCAACAGCAGCAAAAAGCAAACUUUUGCCUUCAAUGAUCCAAUCUCUUUGAGUGGAAGUCUUGUUGUCCUGGGCCACCUGAAGAAAAAUGGAUACAACUCCUCUUUUUUUGGCAACAUGCUUCACUCAGGUUCCCAUCUGAAGUCCAUUAAGAUGAUUCUGGACAACAAGGCAGAUGUUGCCGCCAUUGAUUCCAAUGUCCUGAAAUUUUAUCUACAACAAAACCCACAGGACGAGGAGAACUUGUCCACUGUGACCUCACUGGGUCCAAUGCCAAUCUACCCUAUUGUCUUCAACUCUCGGCUUAGUGCCAACGUGAAGAAACAGAUCUCAGAGGCUCUACUAGGAAUGCACAAGUUACCGGAAUGGCAGCCACAGUUAGAGGAGUGGAACAUCGAGAGGUACACGAAGAUCGAUGACUCUCUGUAUGAUCUAGAGACCAGCCUGAUGGACCUGUGUAAGGGGCUUAGUCUAUCCAGUGUCUACUACUAAACUACCGCAAUGUACUGUGCAAUGACCACCACAGUGUAGUGAUAUAUCUACGAAUACACCACCUCUAUGACUGUACUAUUGUGAUUAUUUUACUACUAUACCGGUAUAAGGGGAGAUAGCUCAUUAGUUACCAUGUAUUUCUCAGCAUUAUUCUUUUGUGUUCAAUUCUAGAGGUAAAAUCAAAGUAAUGCCCUAGUCAUUUAGUUUUGUCUGUGAUUGAAAUUUCUAGUUUAGAUUACAAGGCUUGGCUUUGCAUUCUGUGUAUCUAUGUAAUCAGGUAAAAUUCUUCACAGUCAGAGACUGUUGAAAAAUAUCAUAACUUCAGGUAGGAGACAGUUGUAUAAAUCAUCAUUUAAAGGUUGCAUUUGUAUGUACAUGGAGUUGAUAUUAACAAUCAUGGAUUUUUUUUAUCUGUUGCCAAAGAAAUGCUUUUCAGCAGUAUAGAUGAAUAAGAGAAAAUUAUUUUUUCAUGCUUUUAAGAAUUUUUAUAUAGGAAGGUAAUCUGUAAAGUAAAUAAUGUUUAUCAUUUUGAUUACCUUUUAGAGAGAAAAAAAAUUAACUUUGAAUAGUACUUUAAUAAUAAGGUUGCUAUUAUGAUAACAAAGAAUAUAGUCUUUAUAAUUUAUGAUUUUUCUUUGUCUACAUUAUGUUUUUAAUAUAAGGGGGUUCCAAAAUUUUUAAUGGUUACUGUAGUAUUGCAUAAAUUAUUUUUACAUAUUUUAUUUAUAUCACAGCUUUAUUUAUAUCACAGUCUAUGUAUAAUUCAAAUAAAUUUUUUAAAUACAUGU
rnacentral:misc_RNA from 1 species